GAUGAACGCUGGCGGCGUGCCUAAUACAUGCAAGUCGAGCGAACAGACGAGGAGCUUGCUCCUCUGACGUUAGCGGCGGACGGGUGAGUAACACGUGGAUAACCUACCUAUAAGACUGGGAUAACUUCGGGAAACCGGAGCUAAUACCGGAUAAUAUAUUGAACCGCAUGGUUCAAUAGUGAAAGACGGUUUUGCUGUCACUUAUAGAUGGAUCCGCGCCACAUUAGCUAGUUGGUAAGGUAACGGCUUACCAAGGCAACGAUGCGUAGCCGACCUGAGAGGGUGAUCGGCCACACUGGAACUGAGACACGGUCCAGACUCCUGCGGGAGGCAGCAGUAGGGAAUCUUCCGCAAUGGGCGAAAGCCUGACGGAGCAACGCCGCGUGAGUGAUGAAGGUCUUCGGAUCGUAAAACUCUGUUAUUAGGGAAGAACAAAUGUGUAAGUAACUAUGCACGUCUUGACGGUACCUAAUCAGAAAGCCACGGCUAACUACGUG
rnacentral:rRNA from 1 species